UGACCAUCUUCCUUAAGGUCACACGGUCAGAAAAUGACCAGGAGUGUAAUGGAGGUCUGACUCCACAGCAGGGUCAUUUAACCAGGAUAGGAAUGGGGGCCCCGGAAGUUGUAUAAUGCACCUGCACCGAGGAGGCUUACUUUUCAGCCUUGCCCUUCCCCACUCCUUGGAGCAGCUGGGAGUUAGAGAGUGCUUUAAAGGGAGAGAGGAAGCCAGGUUGCAAUGAGGAAGUAUUUCUGUGUAAACACUUUCGGUAAACUGUGUGAAGAGAUCCCAGAAGUAUUUCCAAGGCUUCCCUACGGUACUGGGCUUUCUGUUUAUGGGUAUACUGAAUGCCAUCAGUAAGGAUGAGAGGCGUAAUUCCAGCUUAAACGUUCUUAGACCAAUCUCCCUGUGUGCCAGCCUGUGUAGAAGACUGGUCAUUUGGAGAGAGUUCGCCCAGCCCAGUGCCAGACAGGGAGCCCCAGGAGCCCUCCUGCCACCUUGCCCUCUGCGGAGACAGCCCUCCAGCCCCUCAGGCCUGGGCCCCGAGCUCUCAACAGGGCCCACGACUCGUCCUCCUGGCCUUCAAGCCUCCAAGGAGGCACCUCCUUUCUGCAGCUGCAGCAGGUCAAGAGCCUCAUCCGAGGAGGAAGUGAAAGCCCUGCGUGGGCCCUGGGUCCCUGGAGUCACACUGACGUGGGUGUGAGCCCUGGCUCGGCCGUUUUCCAGCCGUGGUGCCCGAGAGAAGCCACUUCCCUUCUGAAAGCCUCAGUGUCCUCGACUUUGGUGUGAGGGCCUUGUCCUGAGUUCAUUGGGCUCUGGUGGGGACAGCGUGAAUCCAACGUUCAAGGGGCAUGCGGCCCGGGGCAGCUCCCGCAGAACCACCCAUUCUCCUGUGGCUCAGCCCCACGGCGAUCCCCGCCAUGAUUCAGCCACCCCUGGGCGGAAUCAUCAUCUCCUCCCUGUGCUGCUCCGGCCUGGAGUGGUAGUACCUCGUGCCCUAGCUAGACUGCCUUCCCAUUUGCUGUAGGGCUUUUCAGCUCUUUCCUCUCCCGUGGAAUCAA